UACGUAGGGUGCGAGCGUUAAUCGGAAUUACUGGGCGUAAAGUGUGCGCAGGCGGCCGCGCAAGUCGAGUGUGAAAGCCCCGAGCUUAACUUGGGAACUGCGCUCGAAACUACGUGGCUGGAGUGUGGCAGAGGAAGGUGGAAUUCCACGUGUAGCGGUGAAAUGCGUAGAGAUGUGGAGGAACACCGAUGGCGAAGGCAGCCUUCUGGGCCAACACUGACGCUCAUGCACGAAAGCGUGGGGAGCAAACAGG
rnacentral:rRNA from 1 species